AUGCUUAACACAUGCAAGUCGUACGCCGUUCUUUGACGGUAGUGGCGGACGGGUGCGUAACACGUAAGAACCUACCUUUUGGAGGGGGAUAACAUCGGGAAACUGAUGCUAAUACCCCGUAAUAGCUGAGGAGUGAAAGCGGUUUUUCCGCGCCAAAAGAGGGGCUUGCGGCUGAUUAGCUAGUUGGUGGGGGUAAAGGCCUCCCAAGGCCACGAUCAGUAGCUGGUUUGAGAGGACGAUCAGCCACACUGGGACUGAGACACGGCCCAGACUCCUACGGGAGGCAGCAGUGAGGAAUUUUCCACAAUGGGCGAAAGCCUGAUGGAGCAAUACCGCGUGGAGGAUGAAGGUUCGUGGAUCGUAAACUCCUUUUCUCAGAGAAGAAGAUCUGACGGUAUCUGAGGAAUAAGCUCCGGCUAACUCCGUGCCAGCAGCCGCGGUAAUACGGGGGGAGCAAGCGUUAUCCGGAAUGAUUGGGCGUAAAGCGUCUGUAGGUGGUUUUUUAAGUCUACUGUCAAAUACGUUGGCUCAACCAACGGCAGGCAGUGGAGUACUAAAGAACUAGAGUGCGGUAGAGGUAGAGGGAAUCCCUAGCGUAACAGUGAAAUGUGUAGAUUUUAGGGAGAACACCAGCGGCGAAGGCGCUCUACUGGGCCGAUACUGACACUGAGAGACGAAAGCUAGAGUAGCGAAUAGGAUUAGAUACCCUAGUAGUUCUAGCUGUAAACGAUGGAAACUAAGAGGAGGUAACCCUCUUCUGUAGCUAACGCGUUAAGUUUCCCGCCUGGAGAGUAUGCUCGCAAGAGUGAAACUCAAAGGAAUUGACGGGAGACCACACAAUAGGUGGAUUAUGCGGUUUAAUUUGAUGCAACGCAAAGAACCUUACCAGGGUUUGACAUGUAUAGAAUUUUUCAGAAAUGGAAAAGUGCUUCCUUUCUAUGAAAGGAAGAACUAUAACACAGGUGGUGCAUGGCUGUCGUCAGCUCGUGCGUUGACGUGUAUGGUUAAGUCCUGCAACGAGCGCAACCCUCGUCUUUAGUUACUUCUAAAAGUUCUCUAAAGAGACUGCGCGCGCAAGCGCUGAGGAAGGUGAGGAUGACGUCAAGUCAGCAUGCCCCUUACACCCUGGGCGACACGCGUAAUACAAUGGCUGGGACAAUCAGAAGCUACCCCGCAAGGGCACGCCAAUCUGUUAAACUCAGCCCUAGUUCGGAUUGUAGGCUGCAACUCGCCUACAUGAAGCCGGAAUCUAUAGUAAUCGCCAGUCAGCUAUAUGGCGGUGAAUACGUUCCUGGUCUCUGUACACACCGCCCGUCACAUCAAGAAAGAUGGUAGUGGAUUAAGUUACUAGUCUAACCUUUGGAAGACGG
rnacentral:rRNA from 1 species